GCUAUGGGCUGGUUAUAGAACAG
rnacentral:piRNA from 1 species